ACGGGAGGCAGCAGUGGGGAAUAUUGGACAAUGGGGGCAACCCUGAUCCAGCGACGCCGCGUGAGUGAAGAAGUAUUUCGGUAUGUAAAGCUCUUUAAGCAGGGAAGAAAAUGACGGUACCUGCAGAAUAAGCCCCGGCUAACUACGUGCCAGCAGCCGCGGUAAUACGUAGGGGGCAAGCGUUAUCCGGAUUUACUGGGUGUAAAGGGAGCGUAGACGGCAAAUCAAGUCUGAAGUGAAAGCCGCGGCUCAACUGCGGAACUGCUUUGGAAACUGAUUAGCUAGAGUGUCGGAGAGGUGAGUGGAAUGCCCAGUGUAGCGGUGAAAUGCGUAGAUAUUGGGAGGAACACCGGUGGCGAAGGCGGCUCACUGGACGAUAACUGACGUUGAGGCUCGAAAGCGUGGGGAGCAAACAGGAUUAGAUACCCUGGUA
rnacentral:rRNA from 1 species